rnacentral:rRNA from 1 species
GACGAACGCUGGCGGCGUGCUUAACACAUGCAAGUCGAGCGAUGAAGCACCUUCGGGUGUGAAUUAGCGGCGAACGGGUGAGGAACACGUGAGAAAUCUGCCUUCAACUCUGGGAUAACUCCGUGAAAACGGGGCUAAUACCGGAUAUGAAACCUGCGGGCAUCCGCGGGUUUGGAAAGUUUUUCGGUUGAAGAUGAUCUCGCGGCCUAUCAGCUUGGUGGUGAGGUAAUGGCUCACCAAGGCGACGACGGGUAGCCGGCCUGAGAGGGCGACCGGCCACACUGGGACUGAGACACGGCCCAGACUCCGACGGGAGGCAGCAGUGGGGAAUAUUGGGCAAUGGAGGAAACUCUGACCCAGCGACGCCGCGUGCGGGAUGAAGGCCUUCGGGUUGUAAACCGCUUUCAGCAGGGAAGAAGCGAAAGUGACGGUACCUGCAGAAGAAGCACCGGCUAACUACGUGCCAGCCGCCGCGUAA